ensembl:antisense D530033B14Rik RIKEN cDNA D530033B14 gene
AUAAGGAGGAAGUAUCAAAUACUUAAUCAAAUGGAUACAAUGUUAGAUGUUGAGCUCCAGCACUGGGACCAACCGACCAGACCAAAGCUGAGUCACUCAAGGGCUGGGACCAGGGCUGGCCUGAAAAUAUGCCAAAUCUGGUAUCUCUCCCAAUACUGAACUUUAACCCUGAGCAAAGUCUUGAGUACGCACGGUUGUCAGUGACAAACUAGAUACAGAGGGACUGGGCUAGCCAAUGCCACCCAAAUAGAGAGUGUGGCGAGCGAACUCCAGUCUAGGUCCAAGUGGCCCCUAGCGCGAUCUGCCAGGUGGGGGUGGAGAGCUGCUGCGGGCAUACAGAUGAUCUGUGCAGGGCCAUAUUAUUUCUUCUUUUCUGUCUUCUUAGAAGGCCUCGAACCCCUUUUAACAUCAAGAUUCUCCUGGCUGGAGUGGAAAAGUCUGUGCGUUUUCGAGUAGGAGCUUUUGCCCGAGUUUGGGUGACUUUCAAGAGCCAAAGUUAACUGAGGCUAAGAAUAGAUUAGCUCCUUGCUCUCUGUGGAGCUAUGA